rnacentral:rRNA from 1 species
AGAGUUUGAUCCUGGCUCAGAUUGAACGCUGGCGGCAUGCCUUACACAUGCAAGUCGAACGGCAGCACGGGAGCAAUCCUGGUGGCGAGUGGCGAACGGGUGAGUAAUAUAUCGGAACGUGCCCAGUCGUGGGGGAUAACGCAGCGAAAGCUGUGCUAAUACCGCAUACGAUCUCUGGAUGAAAGCGGGGGACUCGCAAGAGCCUCGCGCGAUUGGAGCGGCCGAUAUCAGAUUAGCUAGUUGGUGGGGUAAAAGCCCACCAAGGCGACGAUCUGUAGCUGGUCUGAGAGGACGACCAGCCACACUGGAACUGAGACACGGUCCAGACUCCUACGGGAGGCAGCAGUGGGGAAUUUUGGACAAUGGGCGAAAGCCUGAUCCAGCAAUGCCGCGUGCAGGAUGAAGGCCUUCGGGUUGUAAACUGCUUUUGUACGGAACGAAACGGUCCUUUUUAAUACAAGGGGCUAAUGACGGUACCGUAAGAAUAAGCACCGGCUAACUACGUGCCAGCAGCCGCGGUAAUACGUAGGGUGCGAGCGUUAAUCGGAAUUACUGGGCGUAAAGCGUGCGCAGGCGGUUAUAUAAGACAGAUGUGAAAUCCCCGGGCUCAACCUGGGACCUGCAUUUGUGACUGUAUAGCUAGAGUACGGUAGAGGGGGAUGGAAUUCCGCGUGUAGCAGUGAAAUGCGUAGAUAUGCGGAGGAACACCAAUGGCGAAGGCAGCCCCCUGGGAUAACACUGACGCUCAUGUACGAAAGCGUGGGUAGCAAACAGGAUUAGAUACCCUGGUAGUC